rnacentral:rRNA from 1 species
UACGUAGGGGGCAAGCGUUGUCCGGAGUUACUGGGCGUAAAGCGCACGCAGGCGGUCUCUUAAGUUUGGAGUGACAGUUGGUGGCUUAACUGCCAAAGUGCUUCGAAAACUGAGAGACUUGAGGGCUUCAGAGGGACACGGAAUUCCGGGUGGAGUGGUGAAAUGCGUAGAGAUCCGGAGGAACACCAAAGGCGAAGGCAGUGUCCUGGGGAGUACCUGACGCUCAGGUGCGAAAGUGUGGGGAGCGAACAGG